rnacentral:lncRNA from 1 species
AUGGCAAAGAACAAAGAGCCUCGACCCCCAUCCUAUACUGUCAGUGUGGUUGGACUCUCUGGGACUGAAAAAGACAAAGGAAACUGUGGAGUUGGAAAAUCUUGUUUGUGCAAUAGAUUUGUACGUUCAAAAGCAGAUGAAUAUUAUCCAGAGCAUACUUCUGUGCUUAGCACCAUUGACUUUGGAGGACGAGUAGUAAACAAUGAUCACUUUUUAUACUGGGGUGACAUAACACAAAAUGGUGAAGAUGGAGUAGAAUGCAAAAUUCAUGUCAUUGAACAAACAGAGUUCAUUGAUGAUCAGACUUUCUUGCCUCAUCGAAGUACAAAUUUGCAACCAUACAUAAAACGUGCAGCUGCCUCUAAAUUGCAGUCAGCAGAAAAACUGAUGUACAUUUGCACCGAUCAGCUAGGCUUGGAGCAAGACUUUGAACAGAAGCAGAUGCCUGAAGGGAAACUCAAUGUAGAUGGAUUUUUAUUGUGUAUUGAUGUGAGUCAAGGAUGUAAUAGGAAGUUUGAUGAUCAACUUAAAUUUGUGAAUAACCUUUUUGUCCAGCUAUCAAAAUCCAAAAAGCCUGUGAUAAUAGCAGCAACUAAAUGUGAUGAAUGUGUGGAUCAUUACCUUAGAGAAGUUCAAGCCUUUGCUUCAAACAAAAAGAACCUUCUAGUAGUGGAAACAUCAGCACGAUUUAAUGUCAACAUUGAGACAUGUUUCACUGCUUUGGUACAAAUGUUGGAUAAAACUCGUGGCAAACCUAAAAUUAUUCCCUAUCUGGAUGCUUAUAAAACACAGAGACAACUUGUUGUCACAGCAACAGACAAGUUUGAAAAACUUGUACAGACUGUGAGAGAUUAUCAUGCAACUUGGAAAACUGUUAGUAAUAAAUUAAAAAACCACCCUGAUUAUGAAGAAUAUAUCAACUUAGAGGGAACAAGAAAGGCCAGAAAUACAUUUUCAAAGCAUAUAGAGCAACUCAAACAGGAACAUAUAAGAAAAAGGAGAGAAGAAUAUAUAAGUACCUUACCAAGGGCUUUUAAUACUCUCUUGCCAGAUCUAGAAGAGAUUGAACAUUUGAAUUGGUUGGAAGCUUUGAAGUUAAUGGAAAAGAGAGCAGAUUUCCAGUUAUGUUUUGUGGUGCUAGAAAAAACACCUUGGGAUGAAACUGACCAUAUAGACAAAAUUAAUGAUAGACGGAUCCCAUUCGACCUUCUGAGCACUUUAGAAGCAGAAAAGGUCUAUCAAAACCAUGUACAACAUCUGAUAUCAGAGAAAAGAAGAAUAGAAAUGAAGGAGAAAUUCAAGAAGACUUUAGAAAAAAUUCAGUUCAUUUCACCUGGGCAGCCGUGGGAGGAAGUUAUGUGUUUUGUCAUGGAGGAUGAAGCAUUCAAAUACAUCACUGAGGCUGAUAGCAAAGAAGUAUAUGGUAGACAUCAGCGAGAGAUAGUAGAAAAAGCCAAAGAAGAGUUUCAGGAAAUGCUUUUUGAGCAUUCUGAACUUUUUUAUGAUUUAGAUCUUAAUGCAACACCAAGUUCUGAUAAAAUGAGUGAAAUUCAUACAGUUCUAAGUGAAGAACCUAGAUAUAAAGCUUUACAGAAACUUGCACCUGAUAGAGAAUCUCUUCUCCUUAAGCACAUAGGAUUCGUUUAUCAUCCCACUAAAGAAACAUGCCUCAGUGGCCAAUACUGUACAGACAUUAAAGUGGAAAACUUACUUGCCAAUAGUCUAUUACAUUCGGAUCAUAACCGCUCACGCUUGUAUCAUGAUAGUACCAAUAUAGACAAAGUUAAUCUUUUCAUUUUAGGGAAAGAUGGCCUUGCCCAGGAACUAGCAAAUGAGAUAAGGACUCAAUCCACUGAUGAUGAGUAUGCCUUAGAUGGAAAAAUUUAUGAACUUGAUCUUCGGCCUGUUGAUGCCAAAUCGCCUUACAUUUUGAGUCAGCUAUGGACUGCAGCCUUUAAACCACAUGGGUGCUUCUGUGUAUUUAAUUCCAUCGAGUCACUGAGUUUUAUUGGGGAGUUUAUUGGAAAAAUAAGAACUGAAGCAUCUCAGAUCAGAAAAGAUAAAUAUAUGGCUAAUCUUCCAUUUACAUUAAUUCUUGCUAAUCAGAGAGAUUCCAUUAGUAAAAAUCUACCAAUUCUCAGGCAUCAAGGUCAACAGUUGGCCAAUAAAUUGCAGUGUCCUUUCGUCGACGUACCUGCUGGUACGUAUCCUCGUAAAUUCAAUGAAUCACAAAUAAAGCAAGCUCUACGAGGAGUAUUAGAAUCAGUUAAACACAAUUUAGAUGUGGUGAGCCCAGUUCCUAUCAAUAAGGAUGUGUCAGAAGCUGACUUGAGAAUUGUCAUGUGUGCCAUGUGUGGCGAUCCUUUUAGUGUGGAUAUUAUUCUUUCACCUUUCCUUGACUCUCAUUCUUGCAGUGCUGCUCAAGCUGGACAGAAUAAUUCAUUAAUGCUUGACAAAAUUAUUGGUGAAAAAAGGAGGCGAAUACAGAUCACAAUAUUGUCAUACCACUCCUCAAUUGGAGUAAGAAAAGAUGAACUAGUUCAUGGGUAUAUAUUAGUUUAUUCUGCAAAAAGGAAAGCAUCAAUGGGAAUGCUUCGUGCAUUUCUAUCAGAAGUUCAAGAUACCAUUCCUGUACAACUGGUGGCAGUUACUGACAGUCAAGCUGAUUUUUUUGAAAAUGAAGCUAUCAAGGAGUUAAUGACUGAAGGAGAACACAUUGCAACUGAGAUAACUGCUAAAUUUACAGCAUUAUAUUCUUUAUCUCAGUAUCAUAGGCAAACUGAGGUUUUUACUUUGUUUUUCAGUGACGUUCUAGAGAAAAAAAAUAUGAUAGAAAAUUCCUAUUUGUCUGAUAAUACAAGGGAAUCCACUCAUCAAAGUGAAGAUGUUUUUCUUCCGUCUCCAAGAGACUGCUUUCCCUACAACAACUACCCAGAUUCAGAUGAUGACACAGAAGCACCACCUCCAUAUAGUCCAAUUGGGGAUGAUGUACAGUUGCUUCCAACACCUAGUGACCGUUCCAGAUACAGGUUAGAUUUGGAAGGAAAUGAGUAUCCUGUUCAUAGCACUCCAAAUUGUCACGAUCAUGAGCGUAACCAUAAAGUGCCUCCACCUAUUAAACCUAAACCAGUCGUUCCUAAAACAAAUGUGAAAAAACUGGAUCCAAACCUAUUAAAAACGAUUGAAGCUGGUAUUGGUAAAAAUCCAAGAAAACAGACUUCUCGGGUGCCUUUGGCACAUCCUGAAGAUAUGGAUUCCUCAGAUAACUAUGCGGAACCCCUUGACACAAUUUUUAAGCAGAAGGGCUAUCCUGAUGAGAUUUAUGUUGUCCCAGAUGAUAGUCAGAAUCGAAUUAUUAAAAUUCGAAACUCAUUUGUAAAUAACACUCAAGGAGAUGAAGAAAAUGGGUUUUCUGAUAGAACCUCAAAAGGUCAUGGGGAACGUAGGCCUUCAAAAUACAAGUAUAAGUCUAAAACUCUGUUUAGUAAAGCCAAGUCAUACUAUAGAAGAACACACUCAGAUGCAAGCGAUGAUGAGGCUUUCCCUACUUCUAAAACAAAAAGAAAAGGAAGGCAUCGUGGAAGUGAAGAAGAUCCAUUACUUUCUCCUGUUGAAACUUGGAAAGGUGGUAUUGAUAAUCCUGCAAUCACAUCUGACCAGGAGGUAGAUGAUAAGAAGAUAAAGAAGAAACCCCACAAAGUAAAAGAAGAUAAAAAGG